AUCUCCACGUUUCGCAUGCAGCAAGUUGACACGGCCGAAAAGAGAGUGAGUAAACCGGCUUCAAUCCUGGACGCGUACGAAGUAGAUCCAUGUGUCUACGAAAGUAUGGAAUCCGGUGGUGACACGAUGCAUAUGGCAGCGUCACGGUUCAUUUUGUGGAAGACCAGGAGGAGCUCGCGAUCGACAACUCAAAAGCUUGGGAAGUACGAGGCUGUGACGAUCAGGCGGUCAAGCUCGCGCAUAGGUGAUCAAGCUAGGGCCUAAUGGACGCCUAUGCGUGAAUUUUACGAAGCUCGAGUUGUUCAAGCGAAUCCUCUCUUCUGCAAGGAAAAAGACGACUUGGCUUGGACCAAAGGGAAAUAGUUGAAUCACUGUCUUUAAAUAAGAAGAAAUCUGGCAGCAAGGUAAAGAAGACAGCUGCUAAGAAGCGCAGUCUAGCUCUGACACAAAGUUCUCCCGAUUUUGGGGUAACAUGUGCAGUAUGUUGACUUGACACUCAUUCUGGUGUCUAUCUUGUUAUGUAUAUUGGGUGAUGUGUAUUGUUUAUGUUGUGGUAGAGUAUGUCUUUGUGUAGCCUCCAACUUCUAAACUUCUUUCUUAGCUGCGGGUGGGGUGAGUACUUAAAAGUCUGGGGCAGAAAGGGUCUGGACAGGUUUUAUACAAACUGAUAUAAACAUUACGGCAAAUCUAGAUUUGAUCUCAUCAAUCAGAAUACGACAUUUUGGAUUUGAAGCCUUAUUAGUGAGCUUCAUUCUGAUUAAAUAGUGUUUUAGAUCUUGAAGACCCAGCCAUCUGGUUAUUUUGCCAGCACUUAGUGACUUUGUGACAGGGUAGUGGUUCCACUUGUGACAAAGAUAUCUUUACUUGGUGCAUCAGUGCAUCUAGUGCCUAGCAGCUUGCUAGUGACGUCAUCAUCUAGAAAAUGGUAUUGAUUGACAUAAAUAAGCUCUUGACACACACACAGAGUAGACUGUAGUAUAAGCAUUAUUGGCAUUAUCAGAACCAAUUGUAAUGAAGUAGGCUAAAUGUCUAUCUCUAUCAGUCAAUGUCCAUUAACCAUUGUAAUCAUUGUUUCAACUAUUGGCCAAAACCUUUCACAAUAAUUGCAUCUUGUAUUACAAUCAUUUCUGCAACUUAUUGUAGAGCAGUUCAAUUUGUAGGCGGUACUGUGAGACAGCUUAUAUAGCUAUAAGCAUUGCAUUUGAAGCCACUUUCUAUAGGAAUAAUCAGCGAUUGGGAAUAUUCAGUGAGUGCAACUGUAAACAUACAUUGUCACAGUGUCAUUACGCGUGUGAAUGUCUUAGUGAUAAUUUCUCAAUGCUAAUCUGAUGUGUUGAUUUUGUACUUUGUAGAAAUCUGGUAUUGACCACGAUAAUGAAGAGUUCAAGUGCUCAUUGGACACUACAAUCAAAUUUGAAUAUUACUCUUUUCCAGAUUGUUGUAUGUUUGUUGAUGACCAAUGCUACAGUGUUAAGGCUAGCAGACUUGCUGAGAAGCGAGUGGAAAUGCCUGCUUGUUGCCCCAGCCAGCUUGUUUCAGGCCUCAUGGUCGUUCUGUUUUUGCUGGAAGUCCUUGCUACUUCAUCUGUGAAUGGCAGCAAGGAUGUCACCAAGCAUGCUCUUGAUCCCAACCUUGUUGGAGCUAUAAGGAGUGAGUAAUUAACACUGGAAUUUGUUAAUGGUUAGAAAGACAUUAUUAUUAAUGAUUGAAACUAUUUUUAUAAAGAUUAACAUAAUAAGUAGAAGUUUGCAUGCAUGUAACAUUGUGAAGUUUCAUAAUUAGUUCAAUCAACUUUAUUAGUAUCUGUAGUACGUCACUGUCUUCAACUAUUUCCGGUGGGCAGCAAUGAAGCCAGAAAGGACUGUCUACAGAAGUUGAAUAAAGGCAUGACUGAUAAAAUGUAUUGGCCUAGCUAAGAAGAUGGAAAACUAGGUAGUUGCAGGUUUAGUUCUGUUGUGUUCAAAUAUAUUGAAAACUUUC